GCUAAUACCGCAUAACGUCGCAAGACCAAAGAGGGGGACCUUCGGGCCUCUUGCCAUCAGAUGUGCCCAGAUGGGAUUAGCUAGUAGGUGGGGUAACGGCUCACCUAGGCGACGAUCCCUAGCUGGUCUGAGAGGAUGACCAGCCACACUGGAAUUGAGACACGGUCCAGACUCCUACGGGAGGCAGCAGUGGGGAAUAUUGCACAAUGGGCGCAAGCCUGAUGCAGCCAUGCCGCUUGUAUGAAGAAGGCCUUCGGGUUGUAAAGUACUUUCAGCGGGGAGGAAGGUGCUGAGGUUAAUAACCUCAGCAAUUGACGUUACCCGCAGAAGAAGCACCGGCUAACUCCGUGCCAGCAGCCGCGGUAAUACGGAGGGUGCAAGCGUUAAUCGGAAUUACUGGGCGUAAAGCGCACGCAGGCGGUCUGUCAAGUCGGAUGUGAAAUCCCCGGGCUCAACCUGGGAACUGCAUUCGAAACUGGCAGGCUAGAGUCUUGUAGAGGGGGGUAGAAUUCCAGGUGUAGCGGUGAAAUGCGUAGAGAUCUGGAGGAAUACCGGUGGCGAAGGCGGCCCCCUGGACAAAGACUGACGCUCAGU
rnacentral:rRNA from 1 species